UUGCGACGCCCAACACACAAAACAAGCGGUGAGUGCUUUGGGGUGGGGUGACUGCGUACCUUUUGUAUAAUGGGUCAGCGACUUAUAUUCUGUAGCAAGGUUAACCGAAUAGGGGAGCCGGAGGGAAACCGAGUCUUAAUUGGGCGUUAAGUUGCAGGGUAUAGACCCGAAACCCGGUGAUCUAGCCAUGGGCAGGUUGAAGGUUGGGUAACACUAACUGGAGGACCGAACCGACUAAUGUUGAAAAAUUAGCGGAUGACCUGUGGCUGGGGGUGAAAGGCCAAUCAAACCGGGAGAUAGCUGGUUCUCCCCGAAAGCUAUUUAGGUAGCGCCUCGUGAAUUCAUCUCCGGGGGUAGAGCACUGUUUCGGCUAGGGGGCCAUCCCGGCUUACCAACCCGAUGCAAACUGCGAAUACCGGAGAAUGUUAUCACGGGAGACACACGGCGGGUGCUAACGUCCGUCGUGAAGAGGGAAACAACCCAGACCGCCAGCUAAGGUCCCAAAGUCAUGGUUAAGUGGGAAACGAUGUGGGAAGGCCCAGACAGCCAGGAUGUUGGCUUAGAAGCAGCCAUCAUUUAAAGAAAGCGUAAUAGCUCACUGGUCGAGUCGGCCUGCGCGGAAGAUGUAACGGGGCUAAACCAUGCACCGAAGCUGCGGCAGCGACACUGUGUGUUGUUGGGUAGGGGAGCGUUCUGUAAGCCUGCGAAGGUGGCCUGUGAGGGUUGCUGGAGGUAUCAGAAGUGCGAAUGCUGACAUAAGUAACGAUAAAGCGGGUGAAAAGCCCGCUCGCCGGAAGACCAAGGGUUCCUGUCCAACGUUAAUCGGGGCAGGGUGAGUCGACCCCUAAGGCGAGGCCGAAAGGCGUAGUCGAUGGGAAACGGGUUAAUAUUCCCGUACUUGGUGUUACUGCGAAGGGGGGACGGAGAAGGCUAUGUUGGCCGGGCGACGGUUGUCCCGGUUUAAGCGUGUAGGUGUGUGUUCCAGGUAAAUCCGGUUCACUUUAACACUGAGGCGUGAUGACGAGGCACUACGGUGCUGAAGCAACAAAUGCCCUGCUUCCAGGAAAAGCCUCUAAGCAUCAGGUAACAUCAAAUCGUACCCCAAACCGACACAGGUGGUCAGGUAGAGAAUACCAAGGCGCUUGAGAGAACUCGGGUGAAGGAACUAGGCAAAAUGGUGCCGUAACUUCGGGAGAAGGCACGCUGACAC
rnacentral:rRNA from 1 species